rnacentral:rRNA from 1 species
ACGCUCGACACCUACGGGAGCAGCAGUGGGGAAUAUUGCACAAUGGGGGAAACCCUGAUGCAGCGACGCCGCGUGAAGGAAGAAGUAUUUCGGUAUGUAAACUUCUAUCAGCAGGGAAGAAACUGACGGUACCUGACUAAGAAGCACCGGCUAAAUACGUGCCANCAGCCGCGGUAAUCUGAGCGGGCUGGCAAGGC